rnacentral:rRNA from 1 species
UACGGGGGGGGCAAGCGUUGUUCGGAAUUACUGGGCGUAAAGCGUGUGUAGGCGGCUUUGCAAGUCGGAUGUGAAAUCCCCGGGCUCAACCCGGGAAGUGCACUCGAUACUGCUUGGCUCGAGUAUCGGAGAGGUUGGUGGAAUUCUCGGUGUAGAGGUGAAAUUCGUAGAUAUCGAGAGGAACACCGGUGGCGAAGGCGGCCAACUGGACGAAUACUGACGCUGAGACACGAAAGCGUGGGGAGCAAACAGG